GAACCCCGUCAGGUCCGGAAGGAAGCAGCGGUAAGU
rnacentral:SRP_RNA from 16 species